rnacentral:rRNA from 1 species
AGGACGAACGCUGGCGGCGUGCUUAACACAUGCAAGUCGAACGGUGAUGGUGGGAGCUUGCUCCUACCGGAUCAGUGGCGAACGGGUGAGUAACACGUGAGUAACCUGCCCCAGACUCUGGAAUAACCCCGGGAAACCGGUGCUAAUACCGGAUACGAGACGAAGCUGCAUGGCUAUCGUCUGGAAAGUUUUUCGGUCUGGGAUGGACUCGCGGCCUAUCAGCUUGUUGGUGAGGUAAUGGCUCACCAAGGCGACGACGGGUAGCCGGCCUGAGAGGGCGACCGGCCACGACUGGGACUGAGACACGGCCCAGACUCCUACGGGAGGCAGCAGUGGGGAAUAUUGCACAAUGGGCGAAAGCCUGAUGCAGCGACGCCGCGUGAGGGAUGACGGCCUUCGGUUGUAAACCUCUUUCAGCAGGAGAAGCGAAAGUGACGGUACUGCAGAAGAAGCACCGCUAACACGUGCCGAGCCACGCCGAC